AUACGGAGGGUGCAAGCGUUAUCCGGAAUCAUUGGGUUUAAAGGGUCCGUAGGCGGGCUAAUAAGUCAGGGGUGAAAUCCCACAGCUUAACUGUGGAACUGCCCUUGAUACUGUUGGUCUUGAGUUACAGUGAAGUGGUUAGAAUGUGUAGUGUAGCGGUGAAAUGCAUAGAGAUUACACAGAAUACCGAUUGCGAAGGCAGUCUACUAACUAACAAUUGACGCUAAUGGACGAAAGCGUGGGGAGCGAACAGGAUUAGAAACCCGAGUAGUCC
rnacentral:rRNA from 1 species